GGAGUAAAAGUCGUAACAAGGUCUCCGUUGGUGAACCAGCGGAGGGAUCAUUACCGAGUGCAAACUCAUAACCCUUUGUGAACCUAUAUCUGUUGCUUCGGCGGCUCGCUCUCGGGCGAGCCCGCCGGUAAUAUCAGUAUCUCUGUUUGAACCCGACGAUACUUCUGAGUGUUCUUAGCGAACAGUUAAAACUUUUAACAACGGAUCUCUUGGCUCUA
rnacentral:misc_RNA from 1 species